AGAGUUUGAUCCUGGCUCAGAUUGAACGCUGGCGGCAUGCCUUACACAUGCAAGUCGAACGGCAGCACGGGGGCAACCCUGGUGGCGAGUGGCGAACGGGUGAGUAAUACAUCGGAACGUGCCCCGUAGCGGGGGAUAACCAGUCGAAAGACUGGCUAAUACCGCAUACGCUCUACGGAGGAAAGCAGGGGAUCGCAAGACCUUGCACUAUGGGAGCGGCCGAUGCCCGAUUAGCUAGUUGGUGAGGUAAAGGCUCACCAAGGCGACGAUCGGUAGCUGGUCUGAGAGGACGACCAGCCACACUGGGACUGAGACACGGCCCAGACUCCUACGGGAGGCAGCAGUGGGGAAUUUUGGACAAUGGGCGAAAGCCUGAUCCAGCCAUGCCGCGUGCGGGAAGAAGGCCUUCGGGUUGUAAACCGCUUUUGGCAGGAACGAAACGGCGCGAGCUAAUACCCCGCGCUAAUGACGGUACCUGCAGAAUAAGCACCGGCUAACUACGUGCCAGCAGCCGCGGUAAUACGUAGGGUGCAAGCGUUAAUCGG
rnacentral:rRNA from 1 species